GGUGGGGAUGACGUCAAGUCCUCAUGGCCCUUACGGGCCGGGCUACACACGUGCUACAAUGGUGGUGACAGAGGGAUAAUCCCUAAAAGCCAUCUCAGUUCAGAUCGGGGUCUGCAACUCGACCCCGUGAAGGUGGAAUCGCUAGUAAUCGUGGAUCAGCAUGCCACGGUGAAUACGUUCCCGGGCCUUGUACACACCGCCCGUCACACCAUGGGAGUUGGGUUUACCCGAAGGCAGUGCGCUAACCGCAAGGGGGCAGCUGACCACGGUAGGCUCAGCGACUGGGGUGAAGUCGUAACAAGGUAGCCGUAGGGGAACCUGCGGCUGGAUCACCUCCUUU
rnacentral:rRNA from 1 species